rnacentral:miRNA from 1 species
UGCUAUGCCGACAUGUUGUCAU